rnacentral:misc_RNA from 1 species
GAUGAAGAACGCAGCGAAAUGCGAUACUUGGUGUGAAUUGCAGAAUCCCGUGAACCAUCGAGUCUUUGAACGCAAGUUGCGCCCGAAGCCAUUAGGCCGAGGGCACGCCUGCCUGGGCGUCACACGUCGUUGCCCCCCCCAUCUACUCCUUCGGGAUUGCGGGGGGCGGAUGAUGGCCUCCCGUGCGCCUCGCCGCGCGGUUGGCAUAAAUGCCAAGUCCUCGGCGACGCACGCCACGACAAUCGGUGGUUGCGAAACCUCGGUUGCCCGUCGUGUGCGGUCGUCGCGCAUCGAGGGCUCGAAAAAAUGCUCGGCUCCGGCUCGGCUUUCAACGCGACCCCAGGUCAGGCGGGGUUACCCGCUGAAUUUAAGCAUAUCAAUAAGCGGAGGA